rnacentral:rRNA from 1 species
CCUACGGGGGGCUGCAGUGGGGAAUAUUGGACAAUGGGGGGAACCCUGAUCCAGCCAUGCCGCGUGUGUGAAGAAGGCCCUCGGGUUGUAAAGCACUUUCAGUGAGGAAGAACGCCUGGUGGUUAAUACCCAUCAGGAAAGACAUCACUCACAGAAGAAGCACCGGCUAACUCCGUGCCAGCAGCCGCGGUAAUACGGAGGGUGCGAGCGUUAAUCGGAAUUACUGGGCGUAAAGCGCGCGUAGGUGGCUUGAUAAGCCGGUUGUGAAAGCCCCGGGCUCAACCUGGGAACGGCAUCCGGAACUGUCAAGCUAGAGUGCAGGAGAGGAAGGUAGAAUUCCCGGUGUAGCGGUGAAAUGCGUAGAGAUCGGGAGGAAUACCAGUGGCGAAGGCGGCCUUCUGGACUGACACUGACACUGAGGUGCGAAAGCGUGGGUAGCAAACAGGAUUAGAUACCCUGGUGUC